UAUGAGGUGCUGUUUCCUGAAGUUAAGAA
rnacentral:piRNA from 1 species